UCCCUGAUGUCUCAGUGGUAAAGAAUCUGCCUGUGAAUGCAGGAGACUCAGGUUCAAUCCCUAGGUAGGGAA
rnacentral:tRNA from 1 species